rnacentral:lncRNA from 1 species
CAGAUAAAACAGUUGAAGUAUGUUAUUCCAAAAUACAUUUAUUCAUACAGAUUACUUAAAGUUUCAAUUAGGGAAAUUAUAAAUCCGUAGUAUUUGGCAUCCAAAUUAUCAAUCCCUACGAUGAAGACCUACCGAGAUACAUUGUUAGAAAAUGUUGUAAGAUAGAGAAAGAAAAGAUAACUCAUAGCAAAUAAUUAGCCAUAACAGACAAAACAAAGAUUUUUUGUAUUAAAUCCCUCUUAAAUUAUUCGAGAAAUAACUCCAUUGGCUUGCAUCAUCCGGAGUUACAACACAAACAUGCUGUACAUGUUAGAUGUUGUUUUUGUAUCUUCUAGUAUUCAGUCGUCUUCCAUGAUAUCUUCUACUAUUCAGUCUUCUUCCAUGAUAUCUUCU